CCAACGGCCCUCUUUAGGGCCACAUAUUAUAAAAAAUCCGGCCUAU
rfam:Caenorhabditis tropicalis strain JT1373 unplaced genomic scaffold Scaffold575, whole genome shotgun sequence.